rnacentral:rRNA from 1 species
UACGUAGGGUGCAAGCGUUGUCCGGAAUUAUUGGGCGUAAAGAGCUCGUAGGCGGUCUGUCGCGUCUGCUGUGAAAACCCGAGGCUCAACCUCGGGCCCUGCAGUGGGGUACGGGGCAGACUAGAGUGCGGUAGGGGAGAUUGGAAUUCCUGGUGUAGCGGUGGAAUGCGCAGAUAUCAGGAGGAACACCAAUUGCGAAGGCAGCUCGCUGGGACGUAACUGACGCUGGAGACGCGAAAGCGUGGGGAGCAAACAGG